CCUACGGGAGGCAGCAGUGAGGAAUAUUGGUCAAUGGUCGGGAGACUGAACCAGCCAAGCCGCGUGAGGGAGGAAGGUACAGAGUAUCGUAAACCUCUUUUGUCAGGGAACAAAGACUGGGACGCGUCUCCGGUUGAGCGUACCUGAAGAAAAAGCAUCGGCUAACUCCGUGCCAGCAGCCGCGGUAAUACGGGGGAUGCGGGCGUUAUCCGGAUGUAUUGGGGUAAAAGGGUGGGCAGGGGGACUGUUAAGUCAGCGGUCAAAGCCCGGGGCUCAACCCCGGCCCGCCGUUGAAACUGGCAGUCUCGAGUUGGAGAGAAGUAAGCGGAAUUCGCGGUGUAGCGGUGAAAUGCAUAGAUAUCGCGCAGAACUCCGAUUGCGAAGGCAGCAUGCCGGCUCCACACUGACGCUGAGGCACGAAAGCGUGGGUAUCGAACAGGAUUAGAUACCCUAGUAGUC
rnacentral:rRNA from 1 species